GACGAACGCUGGCGGCGUGCCUAAUACAUGCAAGUAGAACGCUGAAGAGAGGAGCUUGCUCUUCUUGGAUGAGUUGCGAACGGGUGAGUAACGCGUAGGUAACCUGCCUCUUAGCGGGGGAUAACUAUUGGAAACGAUAGCUAAUACCGCAUAAAAGUCGACAUCGCAUGAUGUUGACUUGAAAGGUGCAAUUGCAUCACUAAGAGAUGGACCUGCGUUGUAUUAGCUAGUUGGUGAGGUAACGGCUCACCAAGGCGACGAUACAUAGCCGACCUGAGAGGGUGAUCGGCCACACUGGGACUGAGACACGGCCCAGACUCCUACGGGAGGCAGCAGUAGGGAAUCUUCGGCAAUGGGGGCAACCCUGACCGAGCAACGCCGCGUGAGUGAAGAAGGUUUUCGGAUCGUAAAGCUCUGUUGUAAGAGAAGAACGAGUGUGAGAGUGGAAAGUUCACACUGUGACGGUAACUUACCAGAAAGGGACGGCUAACUACGUGCCAGCAGCCGCGGUAAUACGUAGGUCCCGAGCGUUAUCCGGAAUUAUUGGGCGUAAAGGGCUUGUAGGCGGUUGGUCGCGUCUGCCGUGAAAUCCUCUGGCUUAACUGGGGGCGUGCGGUGGGUACGGGCUGACUUGAGUGCGGUAGGGGAGACUGGAACUCCUGGUGUAGCGGUGGAAUGCGCAGAUAUCAGGAAGAACACCGGUGGCGAAGGCGGGUCUCUGGGCCGUUACUGACGCUGAGGAGCGAAAGCGUGGGGAGCGAACAGG
rnacentral:rRNA from 1 species